UUGAGGGCUGUGUCCACGGAGCAGGUGAAUGUUCUUGGCUGCCCAGCUUCUGUAUGCCGGAGAUACGUAAAACCUGGGCCGAGACUGGCACCACGCCCACUUACCUUCUGCCUGUCAAAGGGGUCCUCUCACCGAGUUGCAGAAGUAGGAAAAACAGGACUAGCUGUGGCAGGCUGCCUAGCCUUCCUUACCCACAUCCCGCCCACUUUGUCUGAAUCUGGAGCUGGGAACGAGGCAACAACAUUUAAGGUAGACAGACUUUGAGAAAAUACACUCGGAGUGCUGAACAGAUGAUGGCAAUACAGAUGAGAAUGUUUCAAUGUUUCCCAGAAGGUGGUCAGAGGCACCACCUGCCACCGUCACCCCCUAAAUUUGUACAUUUCAUAUAAAAAGAGUAAA